CUUAUUUUUAUUGUCUGACA
rnacentral:misc_RNA from 1 species